GUGAAACCUGUGUUCGAAAGUUUUUGUGAAGUAUGUCACAUUCCAAGGGAAAAUUCAAGCAAAUCUCAUGGUGGUUCUGUGUGUUUUCGUCCUAGAGUGUGUUUUGCAAGUGAAGCCCACAAAAUGCUUGGUUUUUAUGUUACAUGUCUUGUAAUCACCUAUGUCAGCUGUCUAAACAAAAAACUAUUCGCAACCCAUUAUGUUGCAUUCAUCAAACUAUUCUGGUGCUCAUUGAGAGGUUAAGCUCAUGAAACUUCAUUUGUAAAGGAUACUUCCCGUUGAGGAAUGUCACCAAAGAUGCGAAUCCUAUGGCGCCAACUGUAACCACAGCCAUUUCAACAAUUGUAAUCUCUACUUAGCCUACCAACAGACAUAGACAUGUACCUCAAUACAAUUUCUAUUGGACUGCCAUCUCUUUGCUGUCUGCUGCCUAUCUGCUGGCCCUACAGUAUUUCUAGCCAUUGGACAACAGAA